UACAGGGGGGGCAAGCGUUGUUCGGAAUUACUGGGCGUAAAGGGCUCGUAGGCGGCCAACUAAGUCCGACGUGAAAUCCCAAAGCUUAACUUUGGAACUGCGUCGGAUACUGGAUGGCUUGAAUUCGGGAGAGGGAUGCAGAAUUCCAGGUGUAGCGGUGAAAUGCGUAGAUAUCUGGAGGAAUACCGGUGGCGAAAGCGCUCUGCUAGGCCGCAACUGACACUGAGGGACGAAAGCUAGGGGAGCGAAUGGG
rnacentral:rRNA from 1 species